UCACUACAAAAAUGUUAGCAGCAGAAAUUUCUUCAAGAUAUUUGUUGUGAACAGCAUCAAGGUACAAAGCAUCAUGAAAACCACUUGCUUUAGCUGCAACUUGUCCCUUCAUAACCUACAAAAAAAAAUUUAUAACUUCUAACAUUUGAGGCCACAACAACAAGGUACUUAACACUUCUGAAUAAAGUUCUUAAGAAUGGAGUUCUUGACCCAUAUGAGAUCAUGUUAUAAAAAGUUAAAAGGCAUUUCAAGAUAAAAAAUGUUAGAAAUGGGAAAUUAAUAAGCUGAAAAGGAAAUGAUAUGACCCUCAGCAAAUCAAAAAGGCCUUCCAUUAAUUAGAGUGAAAAGAUGGAAAGACUGAUUACCAAUUAUUAUGCCACUGAGUGACAAGUGCAUAAUUAGCUU
rnacentral:misc_RNA from 1 species